UACAGAGGAUGCAAGCGUUAUCCGGAAUGAUUGGGCGUAAAGCGUCUGUAGGUGGCUCUUUAAGUCCGCCGUCAAAUCCCAGGGCUCAACUCUGGACAGGCGGUGGAAACUACCAAGCUGGAGUACGGUAGGGGCAGAGGGAAUUUCCGGUGGAGCGGUGAAAUGCGUAGAGAUCGGGAGGAACACCAGUGGCGAAGGCGGCUACCUGGACCAGCACUGACACUGAGGCACGAAAGCGUGGGGAGCAAACAGG
rnacentral:rRNA from 1 species